UGUGCCAAGGUAGCAAAAUCAAUUGUUCAUUAAUUGUGGACUGGUAUCAAUGGCUUGACGAUAGAAAAACUGUCUCUUUCUACUUCUUUAGAACUUUAUUAAAGAGUGAAGAAGCUCUUAUAAGUUAGCGGGACGAGAAGACCCCGUUGAGCUUUAGGUGCUUAAACUUACUUAAAAGUUUACCACUUUUGGUUGGGGCAACCGAUUUUAAUAUUAAACAAAAAUAGUCAAAAAUGAAUUAAAUCUUAUCUUUAAGCCUUAACUUUAAGAAAAUAUAAUAAGUUACCACGGGGAUAACAGCGUAAUUUUUUUUGAGAGUUCUUAUUGACAAAAAAGUUUGCGACCUCGAUGUU
rnacentral:rRNA from 1 species